GAUGAACGCUGGCGGCGUGCCUAAUACAUGCAAGUCGAGCGAACAGACGAGGAGCUUGCUCCUCUGACGUUAGCGGCGGACGGGUGAGUAACACGUGGAUAACCUACCUAUAAGACUGGGAUAAUUUCGGGAAACCGGAGCUAAUACCGGAUAAUAUAUUGAACCGCAUGGUUCAAUAGUGAAAGACGGUUUUGCUGUCACUUAUAGAUGGUUACGCGCCGCAUUAGCUAGUUGGUAAGUUAACGGCUUACCAAGGCGACGAUGCGUAGCCGACCUGAGAGGGUGAUCGGCCACACUGGAACUGAGACACGGUCCAGACUCCUACGGGAGGCAGCAGUAGGGAAUCUUCCGCAAUGGGCGAAAGCCUGACGGAGCAACGCCGCGUGAGUGAUGAAGGUCUUCGGAUCGUAAAACUCUGUUAUUAGGGAAGAACAAAUGUGUAAGUAACUAUGCACGUCUUGACGGUACCUAAUCAGAAAGCCACGGCUAACUACGUG
rnacentral:rRNA from 1 species